rnacentral:sRNA from 1 species
ACUCAACACGAAUUCUUUAAAAAGGGUGAGUUGAAGUUGUAAAAGCGUGCCGCCUUUGAGCGGAUACUUGACCAGCUUGUUAGCCCUAAACUUGUUUUAAAGGAGUUU